rnacentral:rRNA from 1 species
GACGAACGCUGGCGGCGUGCUUAACACAUGCCAGUCGAACGGAAAGGCCCUGCUUUUGUGGGGUGCUCGAGUGGCGAACGGGUGAGUAACACGUGAGUAACCUGCCCUUGACUUUGGGAUAACUUCAGGAAACUGGGGCUAAUACCGGAUAGGAGCUCCUGCUGCAUGGUGGGGGUUGGAAAGUUUCGGCGGUUGGGGAUGGACUCGCGGCUUAUCAGCUUGUUGGUGGGGUAGUGGCUUACCAAGGCUUUGACGGGUAGCCGGCCUGAGAGGGUGACCGGCCACAUUGGGACUGAGGUACGGCCCAGACUCCUACGGGAGGCAGCAGGGGGGAAUAUUGCACAAUGGGCGGAAGCCUGAUGCAGCAACGCCGCGUGCGGGAUGACGGCCUUCGGGUUGUAAACCGCUUUCGCCUGUGACGAAGCGUGAGUGACGGUAAUGGGUAAAGAAGCACCGGCUAACUACGUG